rnacentral:tRNA from 1 species
UUUCAGGGAUGGGAAUCGAACCCACAGUGUUCCGCUUACCGGGAAGAUACCAUGUCCACUAGGCUACCCUGGA